rnacentral:rRNA from 1 species
UACGAAGGGGGCUAGCGUUGUUCGGAAUCACUGGGCGUAAAGGGCGCGUAGGCGGCUUUAUAAGUCGGGGGUGAAAGCCUGUGGCUCAACCACAGAAUUGCCUUCGAUACUGUAGAGCUUGAGACCGGAAGAGGUAAGUGGAACUGCGAGUGUAGAGGUGAAAUUCGUAGAUAUUCGCAAGAACACCGGUGGCGAAGGCGGCUUACUGGUCCGGUUCUGACGCUGAGGCGCGAAAGCGUGGGGAGCAAACAGG